CCUCUCUGCCCUGCUCUCUCUGCUGAUGUGGUCCCUGGGGGAAUCCCUCCAAACCACACUCCUCUCUCCAUCUGGGAAAGCCAGAGUGGGAUGAGGGCCCGUGGGCUGGGAACGGGCCGUCACCUCCGAGGGAAACUGAGGCACAGCGAGGGACACUGACCCCAGAGCCACGGGGGGCUCCAGGGCUCGUGGCCCCUGGGGUGACACAGGGAACAGAGGCUGUGCCUUCCCACGGCAAACAGGAGCACUCAGAGCAGGCAGUGUCCAGCUGGACCCACAGGCACCACGAGGCAGGAUGGCAGUGAGGAGCAGACAGUUUCCAGAUCCCACCAACCAUGUUCCACGGUUGUACCCGUUCCCUGGCUGCCCCAUCCCGCCUCUCCCUGCACCCCACCCUGCCAACCCCUCCGAGGGCAGCUGGAGGUGAGGGGUGCCCUCCCCUUCCAUCUCCUUCCCUGCAUCCCCACAGGUCAUUCCCAGAUUCCUGAUCCCCUCCAACACCCCCAUCCCCACAUAUCCAUAACCAUUUCUUCUCCUCUCGCUCCUCAGCACAGAUCCUCUCUCUCCCUGCUGCCACAGCGAUGCUCAUCCCCCUCGAGCUCCCUUUCCCUCCCUCCUAUUCCCACGGGAAGCUCGUGCCCAACCUCUGCCAGGAUAUCCCACCUUUCCAAGGCAUUUCCUUGGACAUCGGCAUCUCCCCUCUGCUCAGCCAAGCUCGAGCUCCACCAACACAUCACUCACCCCACCCUCUUUCAGUGCUGUGUCCAUCCUUCCCGGAGCUUUAUUCGUGGUUUUACCUGUCCUGCAGCUCCGUGCUGGGAGGGGAAUGGCAAAGACCAAAUCCCGACGGUGCCGCUCGCUCCGCUCUCCGUGACUGCUGGGACUGACUGCCGGCUCCCACCACCACUGCUCAUCUUUUAAUCUCCCCGAGCGAGCUGAGAAUUAAUUAUUUAGCAGCUCACAGGACACAUGGGGAACAUCCAAUCCAUGCGGAGCGGCAGCUUUGGCUCCCACCUGCCCCGGGAGAGGGCUGGGAGAGCACCGGGAGAGCUGUGGCUGCAUCCCUGCCGUGGCACACACUUCGUAUUGGAAGGUGAUUAAUGGUACAGGUGCUCUCCCCCAGGAACCAGGAGAGCUGGCUCGUGGCUCAGUCCAUCUCCAGAAGAAAGCGGUUCCUGUGGGAAGCAAAUCGGAGCCGCAGCCGGAGGGGAGGGCGGUGGGAAUGCCGGGGGUCCCUGGGGAGAGAUCCCUGCUCCGUGCCCAGUGCCAGGGGGGUGGUGAUGGGACCGACCCAACCUUGCCAGAGCCACCGGGACAGUGGUGCCAGUUCUUCUCCAAGGGGAUGGAAACAGGGAGGUGGGGGGGACAACCCUGGGGGUUUCACCCAAAGUCCCGCUGACACCCUGGGCAGCUGCUGGGGCAGGAGUGGCCAGGAGCUGUCACCCCGUGUGCACCUACAUGGCUGGGGGGACCCAUGGCGGGGACAGAGGUGGGGAUGGAGCAGACCCUGGAGCAUCCCAAACACCUUCACCAGACAUCCCAGGGCGUCCCAUCUGCUCUGGAGCAUGUCUGGAAUGGCAGCAGGAUGUGCUGCACCCCUGGCCUGGCAGAGCUGGGAAGGUGCCUGGAGAGGGUGAGGAGGGGGGACCGAGCACCCACCACCCCCUGGGUGACAGCCAGACGGGACCCUGUGGAAGCAGGGACCGAAUCCCACCGUGUCCAUGGCGGGAGAUCGCAGGCACUGGCAAGAGGCUUAACUUUAAAAAAAAAAAAAAUGGUUUAUUUAUUU